AUUGAACGCUGGCGGCAUGCCUUACACAUGCAAGUCGAACGGUAACGGGCCUUCGGUUGCCGACGAGUGGCGAACGGGUGCGUAAUACAUCGGAACGUGCCCGAUCGUGGGGGAUAACGAGGCGAAGGCUGUGCUAAUACCGCAUACGAUCUACGGAUGAAAGCAGGGGACCGCAAGGCCUUGCGCGGACGGAGCGGCCGAGGGGAGAUUAGGUAGUUGGUGGGAUAAAAGCUUACCAAGCCGACGAUCUGUAGCUGGUCUGAGAGGAUGAUCAGCCACACUGGGACUGAGACACGGCCCAGACUCCUACGGGAGGCAGCAGUGGGGAAUUUUGGACAAUGGGCGCAAGCCUGAUCCAGCCAUGCCGCGUGCAGGAUGAAGGCCUUCGGGUUGUAAACUGCUUUUGUACGGAACGAAAAGCCUUCUUUUAAUACAGGAGGGUCAUGACGGUACCGUAAGAAUAAGCACCGGCUAACUACGUG
rnacentral:rRNA from 1 species